rnacentral:rRNA from 1 species
UACAGAGGUCUCGAGCGUUAGGCGGAAUCACUGGGCUUAAAGCGUGUGUAGGCGGAUCGGUAAGUACCUUGUGAAAUCCCACAGCUUAACUGUGGAACUGCUUGGUAUACUGCCAGUCUUGAGCCAGCUAGGGGCUACCGGAACAAAUGGUGGAGCGGUGAAAUGCGUAGAUAUCAUUUGGAACGCCAAUGGUGAAAACAGGUAGCUGGGGCUGUGCUGACGCUGAGACACGGAAGCCAGGGGAGCAAACGGG